rnacentral:misc_RNA from 1 species
CGUCACGGCAGUUGCUGUCUGACCAAAUGCGGCGAUCCGUGCGGCUGCAGAAGCAGACUCUGCAUCCGCCCAGGAACCCGAUCCCGCUCGCCACCAACCCGCUCACGAGAUGGUCGCGGCGCCUGCCAAAAUGGGCCGACCUCGGCGGCGCACUGACGCGCGCCCAAGUGGGUCUGGAAGGAUGCCACAGCGCCUUUAACGCCACGAAUAGCAUACGCACAUGUCUGUACUUUCAAACGGCGUCGCCGCCAACAUUUUUGACGGCAGCCUCGUGGAAGGCGAUUGAGCAUGUGCAGGUGCGAGAGGCCGUCCCCAGGUGCUCAUCUGCCCACGAGAUGCAGAAGGAUGUCUUUUCCAACUCCACAGCCGUCGGUUAUGCCGAAACGGAGCCGGGCCCAUCUGGCUGCGGCGGUUCUGGCACAGCGUGUGCAUCUCCGUUCGACGGCAUCGCCCUGUUCGGCGAGGAGGACUACUUUUCACCCGUCUCUCACCCGUCUUGCGACGACGGCGAAACCGCGGCUGCAGCGCCUAAUGCGUCUCCUUUAGUGGCGCUUGAGAACUUUGCCGACGGUGCACGGAGCAUCAUGCGCACGCGCCUCCCCAUUGCCGCGACUCAGAAGGGUGGAUGCAUUCGUCUCGUUGUGGGACACGAAAACUGGGGCGUCCGACGGAGCCUCUUGCGGGCCAAGGACGACACGACGCAGGUGCCUCUCUGCGAUCGUACCCGCACCGCUGCACUUGCUGGCAUCCCCCGGCCAACGCCGGCGCCUGUCGCGGAUAUGGUGGUCUACGUUCCUCAGUAUGGCACCACCAGCUCCCUCAACGUGGCCACAUCCUUGGGUAUAGCGCUAUUCUACUGCUACAUGGACGCAGCAUGUCCAGAGGCGCGCGAGAUCUACCCCGCAGGCUCUUUCUCGUGCUCAGCUGUUGAUGGCUCACCGGCUGAUGGCGCCUCCUCUUACGACGCUCUCGACGAGCUGCGGCGCCGUCUACACGAGUAUCAGGCCUUUUUCUCCAAGGCCCUUCCAGCUCCUGUGACCGGCGGGAGUGGAAGCGCGUCAGCGUUCAUGGACGCAACGUCUUCUGGGCCAACGAAAUCAGUCGGCGACGCCCAUGUGAACACGACCCCUCGCGUGGACCAGCGUCCCCUCCAUCCAGCCUUCUACCUGCGCGAUUCUGAAGAAAUACAGCACCAACUGCGCGCUUACCGGCAGGCGUUGCUGCGGUACAGCGGCAGUCCUCAAGCGGCUGACUCUUCUCGACAACCAAACGCAGAUGCGAGCGCGUCCUCGCCGUUGGCAGCCUCCUACUUUGGUCUUUCUGUCUUUUAUGAGAACGAGUAUGACCAGCGCAACUUUGGCGGGCUCAUUCGAAGCGCCAACGCCUUCCUCGUCGACUACAUUUUCUAUGUCGGUCGACGCAAGAUCAAUGUCGUCGGCGCCGUCGGCUCCUACCACUACACCCCGCCGGUGCACCUCGGUGCUCUACCCGAUUCACCAUCAAUUCCGUCAACGAGCGAUGCAAUGUCGGACAGCGCCCCAGGUGACUGGGCGGCGGAGAUGCACGCCAGGGUAGAGGAGGCAUACGGACUCAAUGCACCCCGAAACUGGUGGCUGCUCGAUUGCGGACACGACUUCCUGUAUGAAGCGACCUUCGAUGGGCAGCGGCCGUGCCAUGGCUGUGAGGUGGGCGCGGCCGCAUCGUCGCAUGCGUCUUUGCAGGCGUUUCGACGUUUGAAAGCUAACGGGCAGGCCCACUCCCUCUGUGAUAGCGAGUCGAGCCUGCGAGAGGCGAGUGAUGGCGGUUUGGUACUACUCGUUCCCCAGGAGGGCAGACUGCCGCAUCCUGGGCUGAUGGGGUUGUGCACGGGCGUCCUCACGGUUCUUCCCGAAGGAGCUCACUUCUGCGAGCACGGAGGAGAUGCCGGCGAUGGCCGUGGUCGUGGAGGGAACGGCCACCGCGGUCUACCGUCGCAGGUGGCAAGCGGCGUGGCGCUGCAGCGACUGUCCGCUGUGAUGCACCCGCGCUUAGCCGCUCUCUGAGCGAAGAGGAGAGAAGUGGAGGUGUUGUACGGUGCGAUGUCGCAUGGCCUUCACUGCUUCUCUAAUGCGCGCAUGCAUAUGUGUUUGCCUCACAGAUUAUUCUAAUCCACACAUCUCG